AUUGAACGCUGGCGGCAGGCUUAACACAUGCAAGUCGAACGAGUGGCGGACGGGUGAGUAAUGCUUGGGAAUCUAGCUUAUGGAGGGGGAUAACUACGGGAAACUGUAGCUAAUACCGCGUACCAUAGGAUGAGCCCAAGUGGGAGUAGGUAGUUGGUGAGGUAAAGGCUCACCAAGCCGACGAUCUCUAGAUGGUCUGAGAGGAGGACCAGCAACACUGGGACUGAGACGCGGCCCAGACUCAUCAGGGAGGCAGCAGUGGGGAAUAGUGCGCAAUUGGGGAAACUGGACGCAGCCAUGCCGCGUGAAUGAAGAAGGCCUUCGGGUUGUAAAGUUCUUUCGGUAGCGAGGCGUUAUCUACAGAAUAAGCACCGGCUAACUCCGUGCCAGAAGCCGCGGUAAAAC
rnacentral:rRNA from 1 species